rnacentral:tRNA from 1 species
AGCAGUGUAGUUCAGCGGUUAGAGCAGUGGACUGGGAUUCAGGAAGCCUGGGUUCUAUUUCCAGCUCUGCUA